rnacentral:rRNA from 1 species
AUGGUUAAAGAUCUCUUGGCCGAUAAUAUUGAUGGGCAUGUUAUUUACUUAUGUGAUGAGACUGCUAGAAUUGCUAGACAUGGUACUACAAAUAAACAUAGACCUGUUGUAGGCAUGCCUGUUAUUUCUGUCAAAAUAGGAGAUCAUUGCUAUCAUGGCUUAUGUGAUAUGGGUGCUGGUGCAAGUGUAAUACCUCAUUCCGUAUACAAAGAAAUUAUGCAUGAUAUUGCACCUGCUGAGAUAAAAGAUAUAGAUGUCACCAUUAAGCUUGCCAAUAGAGAUACUAUUUCACCAAUUGGGAUUGUUAGAGAUGUUGAAUUCUUGUGUGGGAAGUUUAAAUAUCCUGCUGAUUUUCUUGUUCUUGGUUCCCCACAAGAUAGAUUUUGUCCCAUUAUAUUUGGUAGACCCUUCUUGAAUACUGUUAAUGCUAAGAUAGAGUGCAAUAAGGAUAUUGUUUCUGUUGGUUUAGGGUAUAUGUCUCAUGAUUUUAAUUUUGCUAAGUUUCGUAGAUAA